GAUGAACGCUAGCGGCAGGCUUAAUACAUGCAAGUCGAGGGGCAGCAGGACUGUAGCAAUACAGUUGCUGGCGACCGGCAAACGGGUGCGGAACACGUACGCAACCUACCCAAAACUGGGGGAUAGCCCGGGGAAACCCGGAUUAAUACCUCGUAACCUUUUUAAGUGGCAUCACUUGAUAAGUAUAGCUCCGUCGGUUUUGGAUGGGCGUGCGCCUGAUUAGGUAGUUGGUGCGGGUAACGGCCCACCAAGCCUGCGAUCAGUAACUGGUGUGAGAGCACGACCAAUCACACGGGCACUGAGACACGGGCCCGACUCCUACGGGAGGCAGCAGUAAGGAAUAGUGGUCAAUGGACGCAAGUCUGAACCAGCCAUGCCGCGUGAAGGAUGAAGGUCCUCUGGAUUGUAAACUUCUUUUAUGGGGGACGAAACCCGGAUAUUCUUAUCCGAUUGACGGUACCUCAGGAAUAAGCACCGGCUAACUCCGUG
rnacentral:rRNA from 1 species